GUUGAUCAUGGCUCAGGAUGAACGCUAGCUACAGGCUAACACAUGCAAGUCGAGGGGCAGCAUGGGAUUAGCUUGCUAAUCCUGAUGGCGACCGGCGCACGGGUGAGUAACGCGUAUCCAACCUUCCCCCUACUCAGGCAUAGCCCGGUGAAAACCGGAUUAACUCCUGAUAGUUUCACUAGAUGGCAUCUGACGGUGAAUAAAGCUCAGCGGUAAGGGAUGGGGAUGCGUCUGAUUAGCUUGUUGGCGGGGUAACGGCCCACCAAGGCGACGAUCAGUAGGGGUUCUGAGAGGAAGGUCCCCCACAUUGGAACUGAGACACGGUCCAAACUCCUACGGGAGGCAGCAGUGAGGAAUAUUGGUCAAUGGGCGCGAGCCUGAACCAGCCAAGUAGCGUGCAGGAAGACGGCCCUAUGGGUUGUAAACUGCUUUUGUGCGGGAAUAAAGUCAGGGACGUGUCCCUGUUUGCAUGUACCGCAAGAAUAAGGACCGGCUAAUUCCGUGCCAGCCGCUGC
rnacentral:rRNA from 1 species